rnacentral:rRNA from 1 species
CCUACGGGUAGCAGCAGUGAGGAAUAUUGGUCAAUGGGCGUAAGCCUGAACCAGCCAAGUCGCGUGAGGGAUGAAGGUUCUAUGGAUCGUAAACCUCUUUUAUAAGGGAAUAAAGUGUGGGACGUGUCCUGUUUUGUAUGUACCUUAUGACUAAGGAUCGGCUAACUCCGUGCCAGCAGCCGCGGUAAUACGGAGGAUCCGAGCGUUAUCCGGAUUUAUUGGGUUUAAAGGGUGCGUAGGCGGCCGUUUAAGUCAGCGGUGAAAGUCUGUGGCUCAACCAUAGAAUUGCCGUUGAAACUGGGAGGCUUGAGUAUGUUUGAGGCAGGCGGAAGGCGUGGUGUAGCGGUGAAAUGCUUAGAUAUCACGCAGAACCCCGAUUGCGAAGGCAGCCUGCCAAGCCAUGACUGACGCUGAUGCACGAAAGCGUGGGGAUCAAACAGGAUUAGAUACCCUAGUAGUC